rnacentral:tRNA from 1 species
ACUUGAGUAGUUUAAUUAGAACAAUAAUUUGUGGAGUUAUAGGUAUAAUCUUUAUCUCAGGUA